rnacentral:rRNA from 1 species
GAUCAUGGCUCAGGAUGAACGCUAGCUACAGGCUUAACACAUGCAAGUCGAGGGGCAGCAUUGGGAUAGCUUGCUAUUCAGAUGGCGACCGGCGCACGGGUGAGUAACGCGUAUCCAACCUUCCUGCCAGUAGGGAACAGCCCGGCGAAAGUCGGAUUAAUGCCCUAUGUUCUUCAAUGCGGACAUCUAAGUUGAAGGAAAGAUUCAUCGCUGGCAGAUGGGGAUGCGUCCGAUUAGCUUGCCGGCGGGGUAACGGCCCACCGGGGCGACGAUCGGUAGGGGUUCUGAGAGGAAGGUCCCCCACACUGGUACCGAGACACGGACCAGACUCCUACGGGAGGCAGCAGUGAGGAAUAUUGGUCAAUGGGCGUAAGCCUGAACCAGCCAAGUAGCGUGCAAGGAUGACGGCCCUACGGGUUGUAAACUGCUUUUAUGCGGGGAUAAAGUGCGGCACGUGUGCCGCUUUGCAGGUACCGCAUGAAUAAGGACCGGCUAAUUCCGUGCCAGCAGCCGC